UAACUGCUUGAUAAUCGACAGCUGUUUACCUCCUAUCGCACCGCUUGGUUCUUUAAGCCAGCAAUCAGAAGAAGAAGAAGGGUAAAUCUAGAGAGGAAGAAGGGAUGGUCUUGGUUGAUUGGGUAUUUCAAAGAUUGAUUGAGCUUCAGAAUAGCCUCACUGCAUUGCUCACUUAUGAUCCUGAGAUAUAUCCACAAGGGUCCAAGAGCCUUGAACCCAGUCAAGCUGAUGAAGAUGAAGCAACAGCCAAAGAUGGAGAUGGUGCCUCUGAGACUAGCAAGGCAUCAGCAGCAAUGUGCGUCGGAAUAGGCAGCUUCUCUGACCCUAUGGAAGCACAGGGGCCUGCACACUUUCUUGAACAAAUUCUCUUCAUGGGGAGUAGUUUCUGGUUGAAAAUGAGAUUUUGCAAAUAAUAGGUUCGAGGGCUCAGGAUAAGAAUGGAUAUGGUACAAAAUCAAAUUCAAAGUGAACCUCCUCCAGCUGCAAUUGGAUUGGAUGCACUAUAUGUGCCAGAAACAAUGGAUUUGACAUUGGACUCAACAAGGAAUAUAGAGCGGCAACCCCGCAUCCAAGUGAAGCAUCAACAUCAGAUAAUGAUGAUACAUCUGAAGAACUUAUGUAGGCAGCUUCAAUCUCUUUUCUUUCAUUUUGGAGUCUUGGUUGGUUUCAUCACAGAGAGCAGCUUAGUGAGUGAGAAAAAGAGAUAAGAGAGGCGACAGCGAUUGCAACCUAUGAGCACCCAUUUCUCCAUUAGACACAAUCAUGGAUUUUACAAGUGAUUUCUGUCGGCCUCCGCUUAUUUCGACACAUACGAGAUUUAUCGCCGACACUGUGGUAAUUUGAAUUUGCUCCCAACUUCUUUUUCUUUCUUUGAUUUUAGUUUAUGCUCUUCUUCGUUUUGAUUGUCUUCUCUGAAUUAUAUUCAAUUUUUUAUUUUUAGUUUCCCAAUGUAUCAAUUUUAAAUCUUUGAUUGCUUUGGAUUACUAUUGAAGAGACGUUCUUGGUGUGUUGUUUAUAUCUCUCUGUUUGAUUAUCCAGAAACAGAACAAAGGGUACUCUGUUGUUGGUUGUUCCUUUUUGAAGUUGGGUUUGGUAAUUUUUCUUUUGUUUGAUCGGUGAUGUGGUUUUGAAAAUUCAAUAUGGGCAAAAGAGAAGAAUGGCAAGAAAGUUCCAAGCAAAGAGAAUGGGCUUGAUUUGGAGAAAUACUCAUAGACCCAGAGUUUGCAGGAGGUUAAUAUAAUGAUUCCAGUUCCUGAUGGAACUAAAUCAAGGGAUAUUGUAUAAUAUUUAUGAGGCAAAGAAGAACCAUCUGAAGUGUGGAACGAAGGGUCAGCCUCUUAUAAUUGAUGUGCAAAACCUUGGUGAUAUUUUCAUUCAAUUUCUGGCCUGAGCCAAAACUUAGCAACUAGCUUUCAUUGUCUAACAAUGGCAUUUAGUUCUAACAACAAAACUGUGAACUAGGUUUGUUUGCAUUUGCUUCUUCUACUGAUAUUCUCGGCAAAUGCAGUUCACUGUGGCACACUGGUCAAGUCUCUUGUAUGAUUCGGUGGUGAACUUCCUUUCAAGCUCUCCACUAGAAGAUAUACGACUGUUAAUGGAUCAGAGAUGUUUUACUACUUCAUUGAGUCAAAAGGAGACCCCAAAGUAGACCUUUUGUUGCUUUGAUACAGUAGAUGCCCUGGUUGUUCUGCUUUCAGUGGCCUUAUUUAUCAAAAUGGUCCUUUGGAUUUCAACUUUACUGAGUAUGAUGGAGGUAUACCAAAAAGUUAUUACUACCCAUACUCAUGGAGAAGAAUUGGUAUCUUCCCACUUUCGUUGAGCUUCUGUUUUAUUGAUCUUAGAUUUGUUACAAAAUUGAUAUUUGUAGCAAGUUUCCACACUGCAAGCAUAUUGUUUAUAGAUGCACCUGUUGCCACUGGUUUCUACUAUGCAACUGAUGCAAAAGAAUAUGCUACCUCUGAUACAAAAACAGCAUCACAGGUUUACGGCUUCUUCAAAAUGGUAAUGCUUCAUAUUCACAAAAACCAUACAUUUAAGAUCCUUAAAUCAAAGGAAAAUGCAGACAUGGUCAUUCAUCAUGUGGUUUCUUUUGGUUGUAAUGCAGCAGUGGUUAAAUCAACCGCAAUAUCUUAAGCUUCAAAUUAUUUUUUGGGGCUGAUUCGUAUGCCAUUGUUGGGAACCAUUGUCAUUAAACAUAUUAUAGUUAGUACUAACUUACUAAACAAUUGACAUUCAGAUCAAAUUAAUCAAGGAACAUUAAUUGGGAUCUUGGAUUUAAAGUGAUCAAUUGUUUCAGGUAAUGAUGCCGGAGCAUCACCACACCUCAAUCUCAAGGUAAAUUGACUAUCUUUUAUUUCAAACAUUGACAUAUCAUGAUUUUCUUUUCAAUGUAGUCCCCUGUACUCUAUUCCUAACUUCCUACCAUGUGGCCUGUAGUCGUAUUAAAUCAUGUCAAUCUGAGAUUUCUAAUGAGCAAUUUGCAAAAGCAUUCAAUCCUUCACUCCACUUGCAUGUUAAUAUGAUUAUUUCUGACUUCCACUGACUGCCCCUCAAAUGAGAAAGAUGCAGCGGACAUGAAGAAAUCAACUGAAGACACAUCAGAGGAGUUAAUGUAAAAUAGUUGGCUCUAACUACAAACAUAGAACACUUUAGCUAAGCCUAACCAUUUUUUUGCAAUAAGUAUGUAUCUGGUUAACAUACCAGAUUUUGGAAUCUGUACAAGAUAUUUUGGUUACUUAUAUAAUGUUUCGAAUGUUUGUAUUUGCUGUCGUUAAACAUAUAACAUACCCACGGCAUCGUGCGGGGUUGAUUUCUAGUGUUGUUUAUAGUUCAACAAAGUAAUUUUUGUUUAUUCACAUAAGAUCAUGUUCCAUC